rnacentral:rRNA from 1 species
UACGGAGGGGGCUAGCGUUGUUCGGAAUUACUGGGCGUAAAGCGCACGUAGGCGGCUUUGUAAGUUAGAGGUGAAAGCCCAGGGCUUAACCCUGGAAUUGCCUUUAAGACUGCAUCGCUAGAAUCGUGGAGAGGUGAGUGGAAUUCCGAGUGUAGAGGUGAAAUUCGUAGAUAUUCGGAAGAACACCAGUGGCGAAGGCGACUCACUGGACACGUAUUGACGCUGAGGUGCAAAAGCGUGGGGAGCAAACAGG